rnacentral:rRNA from 1 species
AACAGGAUUAGAUACCCUGGUAGUCCACGCCGUAAACGAUGAGUGCUAGGUGUUGGGGGGUUCCCCCUCAGUGCCGAAGGUAACCCAUUAAGCACUCCGCCUGGGGAGUACGGCCGCAAGGCUGAAACUCAAAGGAAUUGACGGGGGCCCGCACAAGUGGUGGAGCAUGUGGUUUAAUUCGAAGCAACGCGAAGAACCUUACCAGGGCUUGACAUCCCGCUGACCGCUCCAGAGAUGGAGCUUCCCUUCGGGGCAGCGGUGACAGGUGGUGCAUGGUUGUCGUCAGCUCGUGUCGUGAGAUGUUGGGUUCAGUCCCGCAACGAGCGCAACCCUUACCGCCAGUUGCCAGCAUUUCGGAUGGGGACUCUGGCGAGACAGCCGGUGAAAGCCGGAGGAAGGUGGGGAUGACGUCAAAUCAUCAUGCCCCUUAUGUCCUGGGCUACACACGUGCUACAAUGGCCAGUACAAAGGGAAGCGAACCCGCGAGGGGGGGCCAAUCCCAAAAAACUGGUCUCAGUUCGGAUCGCAGGCUGCAACUCGCCUGCGUGAAGCCGGAAUCGCUAGUAAUCGCGGAUCAGCAUGCCGCGGUGAAUACGCUCCCGGGCCUUGUACACACCGCCCGUCACACCACGAGAGUUUGCAACACCCGAAGUCGGUGAGGCAACCCUUCUGGGAGCCAGCCGCCGAAGGUGGGGCAGAUGAUUGGGGUGAAGUCGUAACAAGGUAACC